GACGAACGCUGGCGGCGUGCCUAAUGCAUGCAAGUCGAGCGGGCUACGAUCUUCGGAUUGUAGCUUAGCGGCGAACGGGUGAGUAACACGUAGGUAAUCUACCCUUCAGAGGAGGACAACCUCAGGAAACUGAGGCUAAACCUUCAUACGUUCACUGGUAGGGAUACUGGUGAAGAAAGAGUUACCUUAGUGGUAGCUGCUGAAGGAUGAGCCUGCGGCCCAUCAGGUAGUUGGUGAGGUAACGGCUCACCAAGCCGAAGACGGGUAACCGGUCUGAGAGGAUGUUCGGUCACACUGGGACUGAGACACGGCCCAGACUCCUACGGGAGGCAGCAGCAGGGAAUCUUGGGCAAUGGGCGAAAAGCCUGAUGCAGCGACGCCGCGUGAGGGAUGAAGGCCUGGUUGUAACUACUUUCUAGCAGGAAGAAGCGAAAGUAGACGGUACCUGCAGAAGAAGACACGGCGUAACUACGUAGCCAGCAGCCGCGGUAACGAGUA
rnacentral:rRNA from 1 species